rnacentral:tRNA from 1 species
UGGGUUAUAGCCAAGUGGUAUGGCACUUGUCUGACAUGUACAAAGACUUGGGUUCGAUUCCUAGCACCACAA